rnacentral:rRNA from 1 species
UACAGAGGUGGCAAGCGUUGUUCGGAAUUACUGGGCGUAAAGGGCGCGUAGGCGGCUUGGUCAGUCCCGUGUGAAAUCCCUCGGCUCAACUGAGGAACUGCACGGGAAACUGCCUGGCUUGAGUUCGGGAGAGGGAAGCGGAAUUCCGGGUGUAGCGGUGAAAUGCGUAGAGAUCAGGAAGAACACCGGUGGCGAAAGCGCUCUGCUGGACCUUAACUGACACUGAGGGACGAAAGCUAGGGGAGCGAAUGGG